UACGUAGGGGGCAAGCGUUGUCCGGAAUCAUUGGGCGUAAAGCGCGUGUAGGCGGCUCGAUAAGUCUGCUGUGAAAGUCCAGGGCUCAACCCUGGGAUGCCGGUGGAUACUGUCGAGCUUGAGUCCGGAAGAGGCGAGUGGAAUUCCUGGUGUAGCGGUGAAAUGCGCAGAUAUCAGGAGGAACACCAAUGGCGAAGGCAGCUCGCUGGAACGGUACUGACGUUGAGGCGCGAAAGCGUGGGGAGCAAACAGG
rnacentral:rRNA from 1 species